rfam:TPA: Bos taurus chromosome 8, whole genome shotgun sequence.
UCCCAGGUGGUUCAGAUGGUAAAGAAUCUGCCUGCAAUGCAGGAGACCCAGGGUUUGAUCCCUGUUUUGGGAG